rnacentral:misc_RNA from 1 species
CAACCCUCGAGCCCCCCGCUGGGGGGCUCGGUGUUGGGGGACGGCCCUCACCCGGCCGCCCCCGAAAUGCAGUGGCGACCUCGCCGCAGCCUCCCCUGCGCAGUAACGCACAAGCCUCGCACCGGAGCGCGGAGACGGUCACGCCGUGAAACGCCCAACUCUUUAGA